rnacentral:rRNA from 1 species
GACGAACGCUGGCGGCGUGCCUAAUACAUGCAAGUAGAACGCUGAAGAAGAGGAGCUUGCUCUUCUUGGAUGAGUUGCGAACGGGUGAGUAACGCGUAGGUAACCUGCCUUGUAGCGGGGGAUAACUAUUGGAAACGAUAGCUAAUACCGCAUAACAAUGGAUGACACAUGUCAUUUAUUUGAAAGGGGCAAUUGCUCCACUACAAGAUGGACCUGCGUUGUAUUAGCUAGUAGGUGAGGUAACGGCUCACCUAGGCGACGAUACAUAGCCGACCUGAGAGGGUGAUCGGCCACACUGGGACUGAGACACGGCCCAGACUCCUACGGGAGGCAGCAGUAGGGAACCUUCGGCAAUGGGGGCAACCCUGACCGAGCAACGCCGCGUGAGUGAAGAAGGUUUUCGGAUCGUAAAGCUCUGUUGUAAGUCAAGAACGAGUGUGAGAGUGGAAAGUUCACACUGUGACGGUAGCUUACCAGAAAGGGACGGCUAACUACGUGCCAGCAGCCGCGGUAAUACGUAGGUCCCGAGCGUUGUCCGGAUUUAUUGGGCGUAAAGCGAGCGCAGGCGGUUUGAUAAGUCUGAAGUUAAAGGCUGUGGCUCAACCAUAGUUCGCUUUGGAAACUGUCAAACUUGAGUGCAGAAGGGGAGAGUGGAAUUCCAUGUGUAGCGGUGAAAUGCGUAGAUAUAUGGAGGAACACCGGUGGCGAAAGCGGCUCUCUGGUCUGUAACUGACGCUGAGGCUCGAAAGCGUGGGGAGCGAACAGGAUUAGAUACCCUGGUAGUCCACGCCGUAAACGAUGAGUGCUAGGUGUUGGAUCCUUUCCGGGAUUCAGUGCCGCAGCUAACGCAUUAAGCACUCCGCCUGGGGAGUACGACCGCAAGGUUGAAACUCAAAGGAAUUGACGGGGGCCCGCACAAGCGGUGGAGCAUGUGGUUUAAUUCGAAGCAACGCGAAGAACCUUACCAGGUCUUGACAUCCCGAUGCUAUUUCUAGAGAUAGAAAGUUACUUCGGUACAUCGGUGACAGGUGGUGCAUGGUUGUCGUCAGCUCGUGUCGUGAGAUGUUGGGUUAAGUCCCGCAACGAGCGCAACCCCUAUUGUUAGUUGCCAUCAUUCAGUUGGGCACUCUAGCGAGACUGCCGGUAAUAAACCGGAGGAAGGUGGGGAUGACGUCAAAUCAUCAUGCCCCUUAUGACCUGGGCUACACACGUGCUACAAUGGUUGGUACAACGAGUUGCGAGUCGGUGACGGCAAGCUAAUCUCUUAAAGCCAAUCUCAGUUCGGAUUGUAGGCUGCAACUCGCCUACAUGAAGUCGGAAUCGCUAGUAAUCGCGGAUCAGCACGCCGCGGUGAAUACGUUCCCGGGCCU